rnacentral:rRNA from 1 species
GAUGAACGCUGGCGGCGUGCCUAAUACAUGCAAGUCGAGCGAACGGACGAGAAGCUUGCUUUUCUGAUGUUAGCGGCGGACGGGUGAGUAACACGUGGAUAACCUACCUAUAAGACUGGGAUAACUUCGGGAAACCGGAGCUAAUACCGGAUAAUAUUUUGAACCGCAUGGUUCAAAAGUGAAAGACAGUCUUGCUGUCACUUAUAGAUGGAUCCGCGCUGCAUUAGCUAGUUGGUAAGGUAACGGCUUACCAAGGCAACGAUGCAUAGCCGACCUGAGAGGGUGAUCGGCCACACUGGAACUGAGACACGGUCCAGACUCCUACGGGAGGCAGCAGUAGGGAAUCUUCCGCAAUGGGCGAAAGCCUGACGGAGCAACGCCGCGUGAGUGAUGAAGGUCUUCGGAUCGUAAAACUCUGUUAUUAGGGAAGAACAUAUGUGUAAGUAACUGUGCACAUCUUGACGGUACCUAAUCAGAAAGCCACGGCUAACUACGUG